GACCCCCAGGUGACCCCCAGGUGAGGUCAUGGGUGCUCAGGUGAGGUCAUGGGUGCCCAAUUGACCCCCAGGUGACCCCCAGGUGAGGUCAUGGGUGCUCAGGUGACCCCCAGGUGACCCCAAG